rnacentral:rRNA from 1 species
AGAGUUUGAUCCUGGCUCAGGACGAACGCKGGCGGCGUGCUGAACACAUSCAAGUCGAACGGAAAGGCCCUGCUUUUGUGGGGUGCUCGAGUGGCGAACGGGUGAGUAACACGUGAGUAMCCUGCCCUUGACUUUGGGAUAACUUCAGGAAACUGGGGCUAAUACCGGAUAGGAGCUCCUGCUSCAUGGUGGGGGUUGGAAAGUUUCGGCGGUUGGGGAUGGACUCSCGGCUUAUCAGCUUGUUGGUGGGGUAGUGGCUUACCAAGGCUUUGACGGGUAGCCGSCCUGAGAGGGUGACCGGCCACAUUGGGACUGAGAUACGGCCCAGACUCCUACGGGAGGCASCAGUGGGGAAUAUUGCACAAUGGGCGGAASCCUGAUGCAGCAACGCCGCGUGCGGGAUGACGGCCUUCGGGUUGUAAACCGCUUUCGCCUGUGACGAAGCGUGAGUGACGGUAAUGGGUAAAGAAGCACCGGCUAACUACGUGCCAGCAGCCGCGGUAAUAC